UACAGGGGUGCAAACGUUGCUCGGAAUCAUUGGGCGUAAAGCGCACGUAGGCGGUUCGUUAUGUCGGAUGUGAAAGCCCUUGGCUUAACCGAGGAAGUGCACCCGAAACUGGCGAGCUUGAGUACGAAAGAGGAUCGCGGAAUUCCCGGUGUAGAGGUGAAAUUCGUAGAUAUCGGGAGGAACACCGGUGGCGAAGGCGGCGAUCUGGGUCGAUACUGACGCUGAGGUGGCGAAAGCGUGGGGAGCAAACAGG
rnacentral:rRNA from 1 species